AUUGUCAACAUUUCUGCACAGAAAAUACUGCUCAUAGACCCCAUGGGGAAUGAAGGUGUUUAUGACAGGAAAAUUCUGCGCAACUGGAGGAAUUUUCUGAGGAUGAGAGGGCAUGAAGACACCAUGGAGUGGCAGUUACACACUAUGCAACACAACAAGCAACAGGAUUCCAGCAGUUGCGGAGUUUUGCUGUUAAAGUUUGCAGAACACUACCUUGCUUUUGGAGAGGUCAGUGAGGUGUUAACCACUACAGAAGCAGUUGUGCUGGAGCGAAUGCAGAUAGCUUGCACCCUACUUGAACAUCGAGGGAACGCUGAGGACUACUGCAUUGUUUGCUCUAUGUUAGAUGCUGACGCUGACCGCAGCAUGAUUGAAAUGGUGCAGUGUGAAUCAUGCCAAAGAUGGGCACAUUUUGCAUGUGCAAAAUAUAAAGAGAGCAACCAAGAAUAUAAAUGCAAAAAAUGUAAGGAAAACACAUAACAACUUCUAAUAAAAACAGCUGUCUUUUCCCCUCCAUGUCUCUUUGUAUUCUUUGUCAACAUUAGAUGAUUGUGUGCUGGAGGCACGUUUUGAUAGUGUGAUUUGGCCAUCUGAACAUCCUACCUAAAUAAAUCCGAGCUGGAAGCAUGUUCUGAACGUCCUAGCGAAAUAAAUCCAAGUUUUUAAGUGUGAUUUGGCCAUCUGAACGUCCUACCUAUAGAUAUGUACAAUGGAGCCAUUAACCACAUAAGGUAGCAUAUUCUGAUAAGGUAGCACGGAUUGAUAGACAAGACCAUAAAUUUACGCUACGGUAGCGCUACGGUAGGAUGUUUUGACAAGGUAGGACGUUUUGUCAGAACACCGUAUGUGUAGGUUUACGGUACACGUCAGCCUUUAGAUGUCCCCCAUUACUGAUGGAAAUCUCACAGUCUAAGAAGGCUAGCCUGCCACUUUUCAUAUCCUCCCUGGUGAAUUUGAUGUGUCGGUCCACCCAGUUAAUGUGAUCCGUGAAAUGUAGUACGUCCUGAGAUUUGAUUUUCACCCAGGUGGUACUCAUGGCCAUUGAUCAGUGGUCUUUGAUCAGUGGGUUUUGGUCAGUGAUUGUUGAUCAAUGGUCAUGGGAAUUUGCAUAAUUAUGAUUAAGGAACUGACCUCACAGCCCAUUGUUCCUUCAGUGGGCUGGUUUCAGUCAUUAUGCAAAUGUACUGUUUAUAAGGUUUGGGGAAACCUGCAGUCAGCUGAGACUGAAGAAGUCACUUGGAUGAGUGACGAAACGUUUCUCCCACAAAACGCUACGUCCAGAUGAACAGAAUCAACUAUUGGAGAUU
rnacentral:lncRNA from 1 species